AACUGCAUUCUCCUUCAAUUUGUAUGUAUUUAGAAGAGAACGAUAAACAAAAAAAUUUGCCUGUGUGUGAGUGCUGUCCGAAAUCGUUUGAGCGAUUGGAGAUAUUAAAUUUUGAUAUAAACAAGCAUGGCGCAUGUAUUAAGAUAUGCCCAACCGGGAAGGUAUGUAUGGGUGUGCUCUAAAACGUCAGCACACUAUGUAAUCAUGCCGUUGCGCAACCGUUUAAGCUAUUGAAAUUACAAUGUAGAACAUACAGAUGCAAGUCAGCUAGCGUGCUAUUAAUAUUUUCUUAAUUAAGAUUAUUAUGUACUAUCAAGAAGUUGAUUAAAGCUUUCAUACGAAAUAUCGAUUUUGAACGAAGAACUAUUCCUUCAUUUUUGAAAUUAAAUUUCCUAACUGUCUAUUCCAUCAGUUUUAAUAUAUGUUGUGAUGUAAGAUUAACCUUCUCCGCUGGUGGUAUUUUUUAGCAAAUCUAGAAAUAAAACGAGUUUUUUUUGGGAACAACAAAAUAGCUACUGGUGGCUCAGCAUUUUGGCAUGGGCGUUAGUCUGUUCUUAAGAUGUGGAAAACUGUACUAUAUGGGGACAAGAGACGAAACGUUGAUUAAAUUAAUAUAAAGAGGACGCGGAGAGGUUAUUUUUUGAGAUGAAUGAUUUGAAACGCACUAUCAUCUCCUUGGGAUUCAUCCAAACACUUGAAGGGCAGGAACAUACUCUCAUAACGCUUGAACUUUUCUGUUAAGGUUCCGACUUAUUUCACUAAACCCUUUACUUGUUUAGCAUAACAGUUUAAAUAAAUCUACUUCAGUCGAUCCACAUGAUAGAUACAAAUAUUGAUGAUUAAAAAACAACAAGAAACAACUGUUUACAAAAUAUAUAACCAAAAGCAAAAUAAAAAAGGAGCAAAACGAAAAUGGCAAUGUUUGAUUAUGCCGCCACUUUCAACAGAAAAGCAUAUGCACGCAGCGUAGUCGACACCGUCAGAUUAAUCAACUAUUUCAUAAUCUCUGAUACAACUACAAAUUACCUUGUAUUGUAGCGUCAUCUGAGAAGCAAACGUAUUAGUAAUGUUUGUUGAGAAAUGUCAGUAAAAAUUAGGCAGUAAAUAAUGGAGAGAGUAAGAUGCCUUACACUCCAAAAGAAAGAAAUUUACUGAGUUUUCACCGAAACAAAACUCAGUAAAAAUUAGCCAUCAAGUUAUAUAAUUUUGGAGGUAUUUUUUCUGGUCUGCUCAAAACCGUGUAUAUGCAAAAGUAUUGCAUGGCAUGUGAUGCAGCUCCGCAGUUUUACGAACGUAUGCUUCAUAAUCGCGGCUUCUUUGAAGUUUAAAGACGUCUAAUUCUGAGAUAAAGGCUGUGUGCCAUUUGGGUGAAAAUUGUUAAUUUUGACAGCCCACAUUGAAAUUCUGAGGUUUUUCGUGGUGUUUUCGCAUUUUAGAACUAUUAAAACCGUGAAGAGAGCAAGAAAUUGCGAGUGUGGAAUGAAGCGGAAUAGAGACAAAAAAAGUUAGAGAAGCUACAAAUGUCAGAAAAAUUGAUUGAAGAAAGUAUCUCGGUGUGAACAUGAAGAGCGAUAAGAAAAGAGAUAUUACAAUAAGUAAAAAACGAAUGUUUGAAUCAGAAUAUUAAUAAUAUCUAAAUGCAGAUGUGCCUCGCUCAGUUUUAUUGAAUAUUUUCAGAUCUGCAACUGCUGCUGCAUGGUGAGGAGCAACUAUUUCAGUCAACCUACUCCGUUACAUAAAUUUUCCGUACAAUAUAGGCCGCCCAUCAAUAAUAAACAUUUAAAGAGCAAUGAAAAUUUAUGUAGUUAUGUUAUCGACAAUAUAUUAUUACUACAGCUUGUACAAGGUUCCUUAGCCAUAUUUUAUAUUUCUGUGUGCUACGGAGAAAACGAUGAAAUGGCGUUCUACUCGAAAAUAAGAACAUAAAAUAAAAUGGAUAAUCCGUUUCAACUGCAUUCUCCUUCAAUUUCGUCAUCUGAGAAGCAAACGUAUUAGUAAUGUUUGUUGAGCAAUGUCAGUAAAAAUUAGGCAGUAAAUAAUGGAGAGAGUAAGAUGCCUUACACUCCAAAAGGAAGAAAUUUACUGAGUUUCCACCCAAACAAAACUCAGUAAAAUUAGCCAUCAAGUUAUAUAAUUUUGGAGGUAUUUUUUCUGGUCUUCUGUAAGUAUUUCAAUAAAAGCGGCAAUUAUAUAGCUUUUUAAAUUUAAUAAUUGUAUUCAAAAUUUAUUGCAAAAUAUUGUAACAAAACCAUGUAUAUGCAAAAGUAUUUCAUGGCAUGUGAUGCAGUUCCGCAGUUCUACGAACGUAUGCUUCAUAAUCGCGGCUUCUUUGAAGUUUACAGACGUCUAAUUCUGAGAUAAAGGCUGUGUGCCAUUUGGGUGAAAAUUGUUAAUUUUGACAGUCAACAAUGUAUUACUGAGAUUUUUCG
rnacentral:lncRNA from 1 species